GUGAGCUGUAGUUACUUCACAGAUGAAGACACACCUUGAAGAGCGCAUCCAUCAGACGGUGGAGAUCAUGAAGCACACGGUGGACAUCGAGGAGAAAGGAGUGAAGCUGAAGCUCACCAUCGUGGACACGCCGGGGUUCAGAGACGCUGUAAACAACUCCGAGUGGAACCCCCGUCAUUAGUAAGUCCUGAUAAAAGAUGAAGGCUUCCUCCUCUUCCUCCUCUUCCUCUCGGUCCACCUGUCGGAGAACAAAGAGCGGACGUGACACAUGCAUGUCGUCAUCCUGGUAGAAUUCAGCCCUUUUAUUACGAGGAGAAGUAACCAGGGCAAAAAGAAAUACAAAUGUAGAUUUGCUGUUUUUCCUUUGAAUAAUGUUCAUCAUAUAAAAGUAUUAGUAAUAAACUAAACAUAAU